rnacentral:lncRNA from 1 species
AAUUUUCAAAGCAUAUAAUACAUUAUUAUUAGUUAUAGUCAUGUAUAAAUAGAUCCUUUGAAUUCUUUUCACUUCUUUAGCUGAAAUAUUUAUCCUAUGGUUAGGGUCUCCCCAUAUAUGGUGUUAUUUCUUUUAACAAAAAUGAAUCUUAUAGUAUCUAUCUGGAAACAUUCAUUCAUUCAUUCAUUCAAAGCUUUCAGAAGACACUGUAGGAAUGAAUGCGGAAUAAAAGGCACGCUGCUUUGCUGAUCAGAGUGGUCAAACUGUCUUCACACAUAAUGUGUUCAAGUCACCUCUCCACUGAAAACUCUGGCACACUGUCACCUGUUGGUUGGAGUCCAACCUUGUGUUCUAGGUGGUUAAACCGUCUCAUCCAAGCAUUCUCAGUCCCAUCACGUUCCCUUUCCUUCCACUCCUUCCACCUCCUUCCUUCCCUAUCUGUCAGCUUUUGUGUCACUGGAACACAAUGACCACUCCCCACACUUUAAAAGAAGAGAGGUUUAAUGUGGUGCACACUUUCAAGGGGACUCUGUCCGUGGUCAGCUGGUUCCAAGGCAAGACCAUCAUGGCAGAACGGCCUGGCAGAGCAAAGAGCGCAGAGCUGCUUGCUUCCUCUUUCGCAAGCCCCCUGUUCCCCCUCACAGACUUACCUUCUGCUCUUCCGCCUGUGCUCUGGGCCUGGGAUACAUUCUCUUUCUCAUCUCAGUCCCUGGCCAGUCUACAGUGAUCCGGCUCACAUGUGGCUACUGCUCUUGUCAAGUUGUAGCUUGGAAAGCUACUUCAAUGUCCUUAUUGGUAGCGAUGCCUCCCUUUUCAACUACACUGAACUCUUCAUGGAGGCAGAGUCCGUGUGUUUCAUCUUUGUGCCCAAGUGCCUGCACAGGGCCUGGUUUUCCAGGGGUGUUAGUAAACGUUUUUCAACUGAGUAAAUGAGAAAAUGUGUCACUUCUCUAGCUAGCGGUUCAUUUCGGUCCAGGCUCUUUCAUUCUGGACUUCAGCACCGAGCGUCCCUUUAGUGGGACUGAGUAGACUUCGCCAGUUUCCAAAGUCUACUCCUUUUCUAGCUUUUCGGAAGACAUUCAGUUAUUGAUCCAGCUUUUUUUUUUUUUAGAGCAGUAGUGGAGUAUUUUCUAUCACUAGGUGUUUUGCUAGUCAGAGAGAGAAAAAGAUGUUCAGGGCAGAUACCUCAUCAACUUGUCUUGGGCCACUUUAGGAAGGAAAGGAACACAAGAAAACAGAUUUGUCUCCUUCUAUUAGCUCCAGCCACUGCGCUUCUCCUGGCAGUUUCAUUUCUGAGUUGAUCGUUUGAUUGUAACAAAAACUUGAGUGGGUGGAGGGCAGGGCCAGUUGACAUAUUGAUCUGGUUAUAAAUGGUCCUAAAAGGUCCCUUUUGGCUUUGGCUAAUGUCUGGGGUCAGGCACCUUUUCAAAGUUGAAUUAUUUCAAGGUCAACCAUUUCCAGGUUCUCUUCACCCACGGGAGUGCUCAAAAACUCAGAUAAAAGGUAUUUUCUAAGCAAUGUAAGGGGAAAAUGGAAGGCGUUGGUUGUUUCAAACUUAUUGGUCUGUGCAAGCAGACAGAGGGCACUGACUGACACCCUGAAACCACUGUUUAUCUGUUGUGAAUUUGCUAAUCCAGUACCCACUCCCUUUCCAAUCCCUCUUUGCUCAGUCUUCAGAAAAGGCUGGCAUCUGGGUGCAGGGCAACGGAGGAGAGUGGUGUGGAAGGCGGCAGGAUGCCAACGUUCCUUUGCCUUCUGUUGUCUCGUGAGUGAUGUCAAGUCAUCUGGUGGCUACUUGCACCAGAGGAAAGGAUUAUUAAUUACUCUGACCAUUCUCUCUGGGACCCCACCCCCUUAAAGUAGCUAUGGUGAAGAUGAUAGAAUUACAGACACAAGGGCACUUAGCAGAAUUAAUAUUCUGCGGCAACGAAGGUCUGUGCCGGUCUCCUUUUCCAUGUUUUCCUGCUACUCCCUCAUCUCUCAUGGAGUAGGCUGGGUGAAUUUAUAGAGAAGCAAAGCAAAGACAAAUGGCAGCAUCUCUUCGUAGCCACUGAAUGACCCGGGUAGCACAGUAAUGAGCACAAACCGUGCACUCUAAGGCGAAGGGGAGGAAAGGUGCUGACACAGCUCUUGCUUUGAUUGCAUUUACAAUAUUAUAGGAGAAAUUGAGAGAGAGAGAGAGAGAGAGAGAGAGAGAGAGAAUUGGGGAGGGAUACGGGGAUUUGGAGGUGAAGAUGAGAGCCCUGCUGGUGGCUGUUCUGUUCCAUGGUUAGAACUCUGCUGCUUUGUUUGUCCACUGACCUUCCUCAGGAGUCUUGUUUGACAACCUCAGAGAAUAAAUUUCUCCUUCAUCCCUCUCCUUGGCCCUCAAAGUAGCAGGAACAGAGGAGCUUCACGCAGAACCAAUAUGUUCACUUCCAGAGUGGAAAGGUUAAUUCCUUCUGCUGUUCACUCCAUCACUGACCUCUAGAUGAUGGUGCCCAGGGUACCAAUUAGUGCUAAUUGCUACUGGUGGUGGAGAAAGAUUCAGUGACAAAUGUCUGCUAAGAAAAGGGCUGAGACCCCUAACUCACUUCCUGGGGAGUGUGUCCAUGAGCCCGGGCGCUGGGAGAUAAUACAACAGGAUGGCAGGGCAGGAAGCAAAAGACAGUCAUUAUCCAGAGCCCUGGCCUGUCUCAUUACAGCCCACUGCAGCCACCAAGAGUCAUGCGUUCAUUAAUUUUCCUAGAAAGAGGAAUUUUGCUAUUGCUUCUGCAGCUCUCACUUUGAUGUAGAAGGACUCGAAAGUAUCCUCAAAGUGAGAGUCACUCCAAUUACAGAUGGGGUAAAAAUCCACUGCCUCAAUCUUGCCUAGCAAAGCAGCAGGAGAUCUUUAUGCCCAGGGAAAUAAAUUUUUAACUGACUUGCUAGAAUGUGUCAAAGUUUCCUGGAUAAAAUUGGGAAAGUAAGCAUGACUUUUUAAACCUUGCAAGUUGAUGGACAAGAAAACAUGAGAGAAGAGAUUUCCUCUGAUUAGUCUAGUUAGCUCACACUUGGUGAGUGGAAAAUUCUGUCAAAGGGCACUGGUGACCUUGGUGUCAUAGAUUUACAUUAAUGUAAAAAGAGCUGCUUUGCAUUAAACCAAGUUUUUCCUGAUUUGACCGUUAUGGUCUUGGAGAAGGCAUUUCGUUUUAGGUAUGCAUCCCUCAAGUAGCCAGCACUGGCUUCAACUAUUGCCAACUGCCGGUUGUAAAUAGCUUUCCCUGUAAAACAAUGCCUCAUCUUUCAAACUGCUACUUUCUUACAGAAAGAAAAGUCCUGAACUUCUUUCAGCACUCACCAGCUGUUCCAGAUGUUGGGAUUACACAUGGAGGACCACAUUUUGAGCUAAAAAUAUGACCUCGUGCUUGCCAGACAGGAGCGGCACCGCUGAGCUAAAUCCCCAGCCCAAUAACAAGUACUUUAAAGGAAUUUUUUUUUUUUUGGAGAAAACUGAAGAGAAUAAAUAAAUGAUCAACUGCAAAGCUUUUUAGGAAUGUUGAGGUAUUGCCUGUCAAAAAAGUUCUUUGGCUAAAGCGAUUUGGGUUUUAUGCUUUAUCACUUGGUAAGUGCUUUUAAGCUAAGUUACUCUAUAUUUUUGUCUAUUUUUUGUUGUUGUUAAGUGGUUACUGGUGGAUUCUGGUGCAUUUUGAGGAGGCGACAUUGGAAAAGUAGUUUGAAAGAGGGAUGAAUGUAUUACUGCAAAAUGAAGUACCCUGUUCCUGAGGAUGGUUGGCUUUUAGCUUUUCACUUGAAUCACUUCACUGUUGAAUUGAACAUAAAAUUCUUUUGCCAGCAGAUGAAGUGAAGAGACAUGGCCCAUACACCACCCGUUUCUACCUAGGAAGAAAAGCAUUUUACUGGUAACUGGAGUCAUCACAAAGGGCUUCAUGUUUUAUAUUUCAUUUACUAAAGUUCUUAAAAAUGAAAUUUGCUUAAGAGCCUUUGUAAAUAUUCUUCUUCUACAUGAUAAAGGUUUUCUGUGCACAUUCAUAAAUUGCUAUAGAAGAGAGGUUUAAAUCUAUUUGCUGGGACUUUCAAAUUAGAAAUUUUGUGCAUAUUAUGAGUGUAGCCAUGCAAGAAACCACCCAUCUCAACCUGAAUUUAUUCUGUCCAUUUACUACCUGGAAAGCUUUUUCCCCAGUGCAAUUAAUUAAGCAAACAAGACCAAUGUUGGUGCUUUUGACAGAUUAUAAGAACAAAGGCUCUUGCAACAGGCCUUGGCGGGUCUCACGAGUGGAUAGUCCUCAUAAAUCGUGCAUAACACAUCCUUUGAUUCUCCUGCUAAAGCUUUAGCCUACUCCAGUCGGCUCUCAUCACCAUGGGAGGUUUGCACUUGCAAAUUUCUCUAUUGCUGUUUUCAUUUCCUCUUCGAUAAUAGAGCCAAUCAGUUUCUCAUUAUUCAGAAGGCCCACUUUUGGCAUUUUAAUUUUAGCCAGAAUUUUUAUAAUCUCUGUUAUCAGCUGCUAACUCAGAUGCAAAUAUCGCUUUAGAGAACAAGAAAAAAAAAAGAGAUUUUGUACAUUGAUGGUCUCUGAUAAUCAUAUGAGGAACCUGCUGAAAUGAAAAUGUGGUGUCUCUGAUUUUGAUUCUUGA